rnacentral:rRNA from 1 species
GGAUCAUUGUCGAAAUCGAACGGAAGAACGACCCGCGAAUCGUCAUUGCGUAGUAGACAGAGCCCGUGAGCACCUAACGCUCACGGGUCUCGCGUCGCGUCGGCGCGGGUGUACUCGAGACCCGCGUCGUACCGGCGGACAAACAACGUCAGCACGGAUCGUGCCAAGGAGCUGCAUGGAGAGAAUCGUCGUCCCACGCCUUCGAUAGUCCUCGACGCGGGACGGGGGACGUACGCAAUCUCUACUCAAGUCUAAACGACUCUCGGCAACGGAUAUCUCGGCUCUUGCAUCGAUGAAGAACGUAGCGAAAUGCGAUACUUGGUGUGAAUUGCAGAAUCCCGYGAACCAUCAAUUCUUUGAACGCAAGUUGCGCCCGAAGCCAUUCGGCCGAGGGCACGCCUGCCUGGGCGUCGUGAAUCCCCUUGCCCCUAGGCACCCGCACGAGCAUCGGCGGGGAUAUAUGCCCGGGCGCAGAAUAUGGUCUCCCGUGGGAUCGGCAUGCACGGGCAUGUCGAGGUGCGGUUGGCCGAAAAUCGAGCAUGGCGGUGACGGGCACCACGGCGUUCGGUGGAUCGAACGGGAUUGGCUGCGUCGUGGGCUCGGCAUGCGGCGGGCUCCGGACUUUGAAUAUCCCCGAGUGCGAUCCCAGGUCAGGCGGGGCUACCCGCUGAGUUUAAGCAUAUCAAUAAGCGGAGGAAAAGAAACUAACGAGGAUUCCCUUAGUAGCGGC